rnacentral:rRNA from 1 species
GACGAACGCUGGCGGCGUGCCUAACACAUGCAAGUCGAACGGAGUAAGAGGCUUCGGCCUUUUACUUAGUGGCGAACGGGUGAGUAACGCGUGAGGAACCUGCCUCUCAGUGGGGGACAACAGUUGGAAACGACUGCUAAUACCGCAUAAUGUUUCUGGACCGCAUGGUUUUGGUACCAAAGGAUUUAUUCGCUGAGAGAUGGGCCCGNGUCCGAUUAGAUAGUUGGUGGGGUAACGGCCUACCAAGUCGACGAUCGGUAGCCGAACUGAGAGGUUGAUCGGCCGCAUUGGAACUGAGAUACGGUCCAGACUCCUACGGGAGGCAGCAGUAAGGGAUAUUGCACAAUGGGCGAAAGCCUGAUGCAGCAAUGCCGCGUGAGGGAAGACGGUCUUCGGGAUUGUAAACCUAAGUAGUCAGGGACGAUAAUGACGGUACCUGAAGAGUAAGCUCCGGCUAACUACGUG